rnacentral:rRNA from 1 species
AAUGAACGCUGGCGGCGUGCUUUACACAUGCAAGUCGAGCGAGGCGGGUAGCAAUACCCAGUCGAGCGGCGAACGGGUGAGUAACGCGUGGAUAACCUGCCCUGAGGUGUGGAACAACCAGGGGAAACUCUGGCUAAUACCGCAUGAUACCGAGAGGCCAAAGGGGGCUCGCAAGGGCUCUCGCCACAGGAGGGGUCCGCGUCCGAUUAGCUAGUUGGUAGGGUAAUGGCCUACCAAGGCGACGAUCGGUAGCCGGCCUGAGAGGGUGAUCGGCCACACUGGAACUGAGACACGGUCCAGACUCCUACGGGAGGCAGCAGUGGGGAAUCUUGCGCAAUGGACGAAAGUCUGACGCAGCGACGCCGCGUGAGUGAUGAAGGCCCUCGGGUUGUAAAGCUCUGUGGAGGGGACGAAUAAGCAUUGGUUAAUAUCCAGUGUGAUGACGGUACCC